rnacentral:rRNA from 1 species
GCUUACGGCCAUAUCAUGUCGAAUGCAUCGAUUCUCGUCCGAUCAACGUAGUUAAGCAAUGUAGAGCCUAGUUAGGACUUAGAUGGGUGGCUGCUUAGGAAACGUAGGUGCUGUAAGCA